CCCUGCAUGUACCUGGUAACACUAGUUUGCUUACACUCCUGUUUCUUAUUUCUUUCUCUUUCUAGGCUCCUGAUACUUCAUGAUCCUCACCAGGAGUCUUGGAAUCAAAUAAACCCCAAGCCCAGAGUGGAGGGACUUGGAAGAGUCAUUUUUUAAAGAAGUCUGGAAGAUAUAAAUAGAAGAUCUUAGAUUUUUCAGGACUGCAAGGAACCUUAUAGAGGGUUCAGUCCUGUUUCAGAUCAGAAGUUCCCCAACCCCAGGCAGUGGACCAGUGCCUGGCAGUGGCCUGCUAGGAACCCGGCCGCAUAG